GGGGUUGACUGGAUUUGACAGCGGGUUGAGAUGGUACGUAAGCACGCGGAGGCUUCUUGGUUCCCUCCAUAAUCUGAGCUGAGGAAAAAUUAAUUUCGCUGCUUAAUCGAAGUAUAGUAGAUUACUAGCUUUAUUCUCCUGCUAGGCGGGAGAACGAGACGUCGCUCCAAGGAUGUUGUUCCGAAUCCGAAGAUCAAGCGGCGCAGGUUAAAUCGGAAAUAGUUUCAGCAGGCUCCGAUGCUGGGAUGAGAUUUAGGAGCUAAGGCGUCAGUUGGUGGUCCAGGUCUUGCUGGCGUUCGAAAACCAAAGUCUGGAAUAAGCGUGUAGAAAGCGUAUGGUUUCCCUGUUUGGACGAGGGUUCGACUCCCUCCAGCUCCAC
rnacentral:tmRNA from 1 species